rnacentral:lncRNA from 1 species
UUUGAACUUCCCAUGAUGACCAUGACCAAACCCAUGAGCACCAUAAGCACCAUGAGCACCAUGAGCACCGUGAGACACGUGGUGAGCCCCCAUAGCAGCUGCGGCAGCUGCUGCACCACCUGCAAGCAGCGCUCCCAUGCCACCGUGCCCUGCACACACACACACACACACACAAAAAGGGUAAUUAAUUAUUGGCAUCUCACAUUUAACAUAACAAACUUGGACCACAUUACGAUUAUGUAGGAAGUUUUACCUGAAUGGGAUGCACCAGGAUAGCCAGAUGGUGGAUAGCCGUGAGGGGGGUAUCCUCCUUGAGGAGGGUAGCCAGCUGGUGGAUAGCCUUGAGGUGGGUAAGCUCCAGCAGGUGGAUAUCCGCCAGGAGGUGGAGGGUAUGCACCAGGAGGGUGUCCAUGACCACCAUGACUAAGACCAUGAGCAAGAUGUGAAAACAGACCCUUAUCAUCAGGCUUAUGCUUGUCCUUCCCCAUGAUUUCUCAACCAAUAAUCACUUC